rnacentral:rRNA from 1 species
GACGAACGCUGGCGGCGUGCCUAAUACAUGCAAGUCGAGCGAAGUUUUUCUGGUGCUUGCACUAGAAAAACUUAGCGGCGAACGGGUGAGUAACACGUAAAGAACCUGCCUCAUAGACUGGGACAACUAUUGGAAACGAUAGCUAAUACCGGAUAACAGUAUUUCUCGCAUGAGAGAUAUUUAAAAGUUGGUUAUGCUAACACUAUGAGAUGGCUUUGCGGUGCAUUAGCUAGUUGGUGGGGUAAAGGCCCACCAAGGCGACGAUGCAUAGCCGACCUGAGAGGGUGAUCGGCCACACUGGGACUGAGACACGGCCCAGACUCCUACGGGAGGCAGCAGUAGGGAAUCUUCCGCAAUGGGCGAAAGCCUGACGGGGCAACGCCGCGUGAGUGAAGAAGGAGUUCGGUUCGUAAAGCUCUGUUGUUAGGGAAGAAUGGAUAUGUAGUAACUAUACAUGUAAGAGACGGUACCUAACCAGAAAGCCACGGCUAACUACGUG